GCUCGGUUGGUCUAGUGGUAUGAUUCUCGCUUAGGGCCCACCCUAAGAAGCUUGCUUGCGAGAGGUCCCCGGUUCAAACCCGGGAUCGAGCC